rnacentral:rRNA from 1 species
UACGUAGGGGGCAAGCGUUGUCCGGAAUUAUUGGGCGUAAAGAGCGCGUAGGCGGUCCGGUAAGUCGGCUGUGAAAGUCAAGGGCUCAACCCUUGAAAGCCGGCCGAUACUGUCGGACUAGAGUCCGGAAGAGGCGAGUGGAAUUCCCGGUGUAGCGGUGAAAUGCGCAGAUAUCAGGAUGAACACCAACGGCGAAGGCAGCUCGCUAGGACGGUACUGACGCUGAGACGCGAAAGCGUGGGGAGCGAACAGG